GACGAACGCUGGCGGCGUGCCUAACACAUGCAAGUGGAGCGACGAACCAGGCUUCGGCCUGGGGCAGAGCCGCGAACGGGUGAGUAACACGUGGGUAACCUGCCCUGAUGAUUGGGACAACCCGAGGAAACUCGGGCUAAUACCAAAUGUGCCCUCCGACCAUAAGGUCGCUGGGGAAAGGAAGCUUCGGCCUCCGCAUCGGGAUGGGCCCGCGGCCCAUUAGCUUGUUGGUGAGGUAAGGCUCACCAAGGCAACGAUGGGUAGCUGGUCUGAGAGGACGAUCAGCCACACUGGGACUGAGACACGGCCAGACUCCUACGGGAGGCAGCAGUGGGGAAUCUUGCGCAAUGCGCGAAAGCGUGACGCAGCAACGCCGCGUGGGGGAAGAAGGCCU
rnacentral:rRNA from 1 species